AGUUUUGUGUGCAUUAAUAGCAUUUUAAUGCUAUAUGUAAUACAGAAACAAAAUAAGGAAAGCAAAAUUAAACAAAAUAGAAGAGAAUAAAGUGCACUUGAGUUGCUUUGGCCGAAACAAAAAUGACCUCCUGCACCAUUAAAUAUAAUAAUUAAGGCAACGCAAUUGUAAGCAAUGAGCAUGCGUGCUGUAUGCUCGUACCUACACGCUUUCAGUUUUCGUCUUUAACUGCCCAAGUACUAUAAUUUGAAAUUAAGUUAAAUUGAAAAAGCAGCAUUACAAGCAAGCAAAGUAGUAAAAACAAAGAAUGGCUCUCACUAAGACUCGAGUCCUAUCGCUCAACAUAAGGAACCGUUCAAAAGAAUCGAUUCGUUCGUGAAAACUCACAUCACGAACUGAUAGAGAAUGCUUUGUAAAAAUGGUCAUACCCCUUGAACAUUUUUACCGUUUGUCACUUUACAACCAUGAGCUUCAAUGCAGUUCAGAUGCUAGUUAUUAUGAGAAUGUCUCUACCAGCUUUGACGUUCUAAAGCCUGACGUUUGUGCCCGUUCUCAAGCUUAUUCAGAAUGAAUGGAGACCAUAUGUGAACAGCAAUUUUAAAGUCUUGCCACAGAUUUCUUAAUUGGGGUUUGACUUCUGGACUUUAACUGAGCCAUUCAAACAUUAAACCUUUUAUUUCAGGACUGCCCUGCAAACUCUGACCUGCUCUGCUGUCCUUGCCAAAGGAAAGCAUCCCUACAGUAUGAUGCAACCACCAUCGUGUAUCACUGAGGAUAUUGUGUUUUCAGGAAGUGGUUCACCAGGAUGUCGUCAAAGUCCUUCCCACCGAGGUCUGAAUCAAAAGCUGUAGCCAGAAUCUUACAGAAAGAAGAAAAGGCACAAACGGAUACCUGAUAACCAGAGUGGCCGAGGUCCACAAACACCACGGUCCUGGGCUUCUCCUCUGGAGCUGGAAGAUCCUGCUUAUAGAUUCCAUAAGCCAGAGACACUGGAACAGAACAGGAAACAAUUGA